rnacentral:rRNA from 1 species
GACGAACGCUGGCGGCGUGCUUAACACAUGCAAGUCGAGCGGUAAGGCCCUUUCGGGGGUACACGAGCGGCGAACGGGUGAGUAACACGUGGGUGACCUGCCCUCAGCUCUGGGAUAAGCCUGGGAAACUGGGUCUAAUACCGGAUAUGACUCCAUGACGCAUGUUGUGGGGUGGAAAGCCUUGUGCGGCUGAGGAUGGGCCCGCGGCCUAUCAGCUUGUUGGUGGGGUGAUGGCCUACCAAGGCGACGACGGGUAGCCGGCCUGAGAGGGCGACCGGCCACACUGGGACUGAGACACGGCCCAGACUCCUACGGGAGGCAGCAGUGGGGAAUCUUGCGCAAUGGGCGAAAGCCUGACGCAGCGACGCCGCGUGAGGGAUGACGGCCUGGUUGUAA